GAUGAGCGCUAGCGGGAGGCCUAACACAUGCAAGCCGAGCGGUAUAGUUUCUUCGGAAACUAGAGAGCGGCGUACGGGUGCGUAACACGUGUGCAACCUACCUUUAUCAGGGGAAUAGCCUUUCGAAAGGAAGAUUAAUACUCCAUAAUAUAUUAGAUGGCAUCAUUUAGUAUUGAAAACUCCGGUGGAUAGAGAUGGGCACGCGCAAGAUUAGAUAGUUGGUGAGGUAACGGCUCACCAAGUCAAUGAUCUUUAGGGGUCCUGAGAGGGAGAUCCCCCACACUGGUACUGAGACACGGACCAGACUCCUACGGGAGGCAGCAGUGAGGAAUAUUGGACAAUGGGUGAGAGCCUGAUCCAGCCAUCCCGCGUGAAGGAUGACGGUCCUAUGGAUUGUAAACUUCUUUUGUAUAGGAAUAAACCUACCCUCGUGAGGGUAGCUGAAGGUACUAUACGAAUAAGCACCGGCUAACUCCGUGCCAGCCGCCGCAGUAAAAC
rnacentral:rRNA from 1 species